rnacentral:rRNA from 1 species
CAGGAACAUUUUCAAUGUAUUAGGUUUAUCCAACUCGUUGAGAAUUCCCGCUAGUGAAUUUUUGGUAUAUGGCUUUGCCUUACAAAACAACAAACAAGUUUGACCUCAAAUCAGGUAGGAUUACCCGCUGAACUUAAGCAUAUCAAUAAGCGGAGGAAAAGAAACCAACAGGGAUUGUCUUAGUAACGGCGAGUGAAGCGACAAAAGCUCAAAUUUGAAAUCUGGCGCCUUCGGUGUCCGAGUUGUAAUUUGAAGAAGGUAACUUUGGUUUUGGCUCUUGUCUAUGUUCCUUGGAACAGGACGUCACAGAGGGUGAGAAUCCCGUGCGAUGAGAUGCCCAAUUCCAUGUAAAGUGCUUUCGAAGAGUCGAGUUGUUUGGGAAUGCAGCUCUAAGUGGGUGGUAAAUUCCAUCUAAAGCUAAAUAUUGGCGAGAGACCGAUAGCGAACAAGUACAGUGAUGGAAAGAUGAAAAGAACUUUGAAAAGAGAGUGAAAAAGUACGUGAAAUUGUUGAAAGGGAAGGGUUUGAGAUCAGACUUGGUAUUUUGUAUGUUUUACUCUCGGGUGAGGCCUCUGCAGUUUACUGGGCCAGCAUCAGUUUGGAUGGUAGGAUAAUGACAUUGGAAUGUGGCUCUUCGGAGUGUUAUAGCCCUUGUUGAUACUGCCUAUCUAGACUGAGGACUGCGUCUUUGACUAGAU